rnacentral:lncRNA from 1 species
GAACAAGAGAAAAGCAGAAAAACCUGCUACUGGAGUGGGUCAUGACCUCUAUUCAUGUCGGAAGUCUGAAUGUACAACACCAAUUUCUGAUGAGUUCAAGUAAUGUUGCAUUUACAAUACAAACUGAUCAAAAAUGUCCACAGAUUUAGUGGAGAUGCAGAUGUUAUCCUGAGCCUGACUCAGGAGAUAAUCUCUCCAGAAGCCAUCAGAAGAAUGGAGCUGCCACGUACUUUCCAACUCCAGCCUCCUCAGCUGCUCCUGGUAUCCAGGCUUGAGAUGGCAGCGCAGGCCAGCUUGGCCAGUCAAGAAUCCAGGCAAAUCAGAAAAUGACUCAGAGAAAUGGACUCUUGCCAUUGAUCACACAAGUACUUGAGUCAUACAUCCAACUAUUUGGACUUAAUGCUCAACAAACACCAGAGUCUUUGCUAAACACAAAGAGACAAUGCACAUGAUUCAAUGACAUCCACUGCAUCCAAGUACAUUCCUAG